GUUGGGUUAAGUCCCGCAACGAGCGCAACCCCUAUUGUUAGUUGCCAUCAUUCAGUUGGGCACUCUAGCGAGACUGCCGGUAAUAAACCGGAGGAAGGUGGGGAUGACGUCAAAUCAUCAUGCCCCUUAUGACCUGGGCUACACACGUGCUACAAUGGUUGGUACAACGAGUUGCGAGUCGGUGACGGCGAGCUAAUCUCUUAAAGCCAAUCUCAGUUCGGAUUGCAGGCUGCAACUCGCCUACAUGAAGUCGGAAUCGCUAGUAAUCGCGGAUCAGCACGCCGCGGUGAAUACGUUCCCGGGCCUU
rnacentral:rRNA from 1 species